rnacentral:rRNA from 1 species
GUUUGGAUCCUGGCGUACAGGACGAACGCUGGCGGCGCGCCUAACACAUGCAAGUCGAACGAGCGAGAGAGAGCUUGCUUCUCGAGCGAGUGGCGAACGGGUGAGUAACGCGUGGGUAACCUGCCCUGUACCGGGGGACAACAGUUGGAAACGACUGCUAAUACCGCAUAAGCGCACAGCAUCGCAUGAUGCAGUGUGAAAAACUCCGGUGGUACAGGAUGGACCCGCGUCUGAUUAGCUGGUUGGUGAGGUAACGGCCCACCAAGGCGACGAUCGGUAGCCGGACUGAGAGGUUGAACGGCCACAUUGGGACUGAGACACGGCCCAGACUCCUACGGGAGGCAGCAGUGGGGAAUAUUGCACAAUGGGGGAAACCCUGAUGCAGCGACGCCGCGUGGAGGAAGAAGGUCUUCGGAUUGUAAACUCCUGUUGUUGAGGAAGAUAAUGACGGUACUCAACAAGGAAGUGACGGCUAACUACGUG